GCCUCGCUAGCUCAAUCGGUAGAGCGUGAGACUCUUACAUCCCCUUGUAUAAUCUCAAGGUUGCGGGUUCGACCCCCGCGUGGGGCU